rnacentral:lncRNA from 1 species
AUUCAUCAUCUUCUCCAAACAAUUCAACAAAUAGAACCCAACGAUGGCAACGAAGUCUUCCGUAUAUGUGAAGGCCGUAAUCAACGAUGGUGAUGGCGGCGCUGAGUGUUACGUCGCUGAACCCUAAAUCACUAACGAAGUUUCAAGUUGGUGUUUUUGUUUCAGAUGAGGUUAGCGACGAUGGCGUUUUAGCUUCCGGUAGGUUUUCUGGUCAUCCAUUUACCUUCGAUUAGGUAACACUUUUUCCUUCUUUUAUUUUGUUAUUAGGCGCUGCUGCAUGAAAAAGUUGAAUGUUAUACUACAUUUGGUUAAGUGCAUACGCACUUACUUCCGAUAUUGAAAAAGUGGAAAAAGUUCUUAAAAUAUGGAAAGCAAUUCUAUUAAAAUAUGGAAAGCAAUUCUAACCUUGGAAUCGAUUGGAAUGCUUGUGUUAUUGCAUCUGGUCGGUAUAUUAAAUCUGGGUUGCCAGAUAAAGCUUUUGAAAUGCUGAAAACAUCAGAAGAAUAUAAACAUGGAAACUCGAAAGGGGCAGCUUGGGAAAAUCUCAUUAGUACCUAUGCUUCUAUUGGUAAAAAAGACCUAUGCUUUAUAUGACACCCAUUGCUUCAUGGUUCAAUCUUCUAUCAGGCAUCGAUUACGCCAAAUGCAGAAUAUAAGCUUCCAGCUCAACUAAACCAGAGAUAUGUUAAAGGUAUUCUGAAAGAGGCAUUUAGAAUAAACUUUCCGGUUAAGUGGGUACACUCCACAUCAACCAUGAAUUAAGAAAUUAUUGUUUUUAAGCACUUUUUCUCUGGGAAUUAAUGGCAAGGCAUUUGUUUAGUGAUUUCCAUACUUAUCUAUAUCUUCUGAGGAAAGUAUAUUUAUUGUUGCUUUUGGAUGAUGAUGCUUUUGUUUUGCAUGUAAUGUUUCUUAGUCACUAAAGACGUGGCUGCACAUAGCUUGGCAUCAAAUAACAUUGUCUAUAUACUGUCAUAGAAUAUACUUAGUU